GACGAACGCUGGCGGCGUGCUUAACACAUGCAAGUCGAACGGAAAGGCCCUGCUUUUGUGGGGUGCUCGAGUGGCGAACGGGUGAGUAGCACGUGGGUAACCUGCCCUUGACUUUGGGAUAACUUCAGGAAACUGGGGCUAAUACCGGAUAGGAGCUCCUGCUGCAUGGUGGGGGUUGGAAAGUUUCGGCGGUUGGGGAUGGACUCGCGGCUUAUCAGCUUGUUGGUGGGGUAGUGGCUUACCAAGGCUUUGACGGGUAGCCGGCCUGAGAGGGUGACCGGCCACAUUGGGACUGAGAUACGGCCCAGACUCCUACGGGAGGCAGCAGUGGGGAAUAUUGCACAAUGGGCGGAAGCCUGAUGCAGCAACGCCGCGUGCGGGAUGACGGCCUUCGGGUUGUAAACCGCUUUCGCCUGUGACGAAGCGUGAGUGACGGUAAUGGGUAAAGAAGCACCGGCUAACUACGUG
rnacentral:rRNA from 1 species